GGUCAGGUAGUUUAAAGAACGUUUGUUUUGCAAGUAGAAAGUGGGUAGAUACCCCCUGACCA
rnacentral:tRNA from 1 species